CACGUAGGGCGCAAGCGUUGUCCGGAAUUAUUGGGCGUAAAGAGCUCGUAGGCGGUCUGUUGCGUCUGCUGUGAAAACCCGGGGCUUAACCCCUGGCUUGCAGUGGAUACGGACAGACUAGAGUGCGGUAGGGGAGACUGGAAUUCCUGGUGUAGCGGUGAAAUGCGCAGAUAUCAGGAGGAACACCGGUGGCGAAGGCGGGUCUCUGGGCCGUAACUGACGCUGAGGAGCGAAAGCGUGGGGAGCGAACAGG
rnacentral:rRNA from 1 species